rnacentral:rRNA from 1 species
GAGGGUGUGGGGAACAAACAGGAUUAGAGACCCUGGUAGUCCACACUGUAAACGAUGGAGAAAAUGCGAAUGCAGCCCCGAAAGGCAGCAAUCUCCCGCCUGAGUAGUACGAUCGCAAGAUUAAAAUUCAAAAAAUUUGGCUGUUCACCGUUUCGAUUAGAGGAGCGUGUAGUUUAAUUCGAUAAACCGCGAGAUACCUUACCCAAACUUGAAUCGCCCCACCCGCGACCCUAAUGGUCCCGGGGGGGGUGACCGGUAUUGCAUGGCCGUCGUCAGUUCGUGUAUGAAACCUUAAACGGACCCAACCCGAGGAUUAGCCGCGGAUGAAGUCAGGUCUUAUGGUCCCAAUGUUUGGGGAUAAUAUGCGCUACAUUUUCUUAUACAAUGGGAAACCUGGGAGGUGAAACCCAAAAGUGAGAGUUCGGUAGGCUAUUGGAAGAUGGCCGAAAGUUGAAUUUAAUAGUAAUCGGAAAGUAUAGCGUUCCGGUGAAAAUGGUCUAGGUGUUAGCACAAAUCGCCCGUCACCUUAACUUAGGAUGAUGGUUCGGACGCCGCCGCGCC